AGUUACAGUAACUGGUCCUGGUGUUCAUGUACCCAAGCCAUUUAAGAGAUUGUUUUGUUUGGAAAAACUUCUCCUGAAAAAAAUGUUUCCACUAACGGUUCCACAUGGCGGAUAUGUCCAUAGAGUAUGACCAUAUAAUCAGAUCAAUAGAGUGUUUGUAGCAGUCAUAGUGAAUGUUGAAGGAGUCAGUGAGUAAUGCAAACUGCAACAGACUUUGAAGAUAUCAAAACAAAUGUUAUCUAUAAUUUACAAGCUUUGUAAUAACAAUUGUUUUGAAAAUAGGUUUUUAUAUUAAAGGCCCGGUCAAAAAAAAAGUGGGCUGCCCGCGCGGACACUGUAAAGUAAUACAAAGACCGCUUGCCCGCCACAGUCCGCGUACCCAUAAACCAUGGCAAAAAAUCCGGAUUCAUUUUUUGAUUGCCGGACAAAAAGUCACCCUCUGUUUGACUGAGCCUUUA